GGUGGACGUAGCCAAGU
rnacentral:tRNA from 1 species